rnacentral:lncRNA from 1 species
UAGUGAUUCAAAAUAUUAGUUCAAGAGAAAGAACCAAUAAUGAACUCAAUAUACAUGAGAAAAUAGUAUGGGGGUAGAGGGGUAUUGAAGUCGGCCUAUAUUUCAUAUAUAUGCAAGUUUCUGAAAUGAGUUUUUAUUCCAUUUUUGUGUUUGACACCCGCUCUAUGUUUCUUAAAAAAUACUCAAGAGAAGAAAUUUUGAAAUUAAUCUGGUAUGAUAUUAUCAAUGAUCACACUUAUUGCAUCUUAUGAUACUUCAUACUUUUCACAGACAUGCAUCUUAUUAUACUUCUUUUCUUAACAAUUCACACAUGGCUGAUAAUUGGACAGUUUAUUGGUUACUCGGGCGUUAAUUUAUCAAAAGUAGGCCUAGAUUUUGUAGGUCUCAAAUGUUUGCAAGGCCUUAC